AAAUGAAGGAAUUAUGGUAAUGUGCACAUAAAUUGAAUUGGGUCUCUAGGCCUCCCUUCUCUGAUGCCAUUUGGUUCUGAUUUGGGGGCAUGCUUCCGCAGCCAAACAC